rnacentral:lncRNA from 1 species
UUUUUUCUUUUUUUUUUUGGGUAAACCUUAAAUCUGCAAUUACCAGCUUAUAAUUACGAUUGAAAUUUAAACACUAAAUAUUUGCACCAAAUGUGCUACUAACAUUUAUUGGGGCUAAAACCAAACUGCCUGUUAGCCAGGUCGAAACUGACACGUGUCCCUUGCUGCUGCACAUUACCGAUAAUAGACAGUGAACUCGUCGGAGCAAAUGCCAAACAAAAUUUCCCCCGCCCAUCAACCGGCACCAAGUAAUUACUCGGCUUCAAUAACAGCCUCUUCCCACUGGCGAGCAAAAACGACACCGUUGGAACCCUUACCGAACCGCCGACAGAUGAAAAAUCAUAACACGUGUCGAACAAAGAGAACCCACUGGACGAAGGCAAAUCUGAUGCGUACUUCUUAAACGCAUCGCGCAGCGCGUUAUACGCCUGUGUAUUCAACCGAGUCACAGCCGUUCCCGAGUCAACUAUAAUUCCUCCGCGCCCAUUUCCGUCCACCUGGAAAACCGACGCCGGAAUCGAUAGGGUCUCGCCGCCGACAUUUAUUCCGACCAUGUCCACGUAAUAAAAUAGAUCAAGUUUCGGGUUUCUAACCAUCGAAGCAAAGACUGAGUCACCGGGUGGGGCUGAGUUAAAAUCCAGAGUCGAAGACGAGCUGGAGUCGCGGUUCACUAAACAGUAAGAAAACGACGUCGCUCUCAGUCGGCCAGGCAAUGAUAAAGGGGCUCGAGCCAGUCCAACUAAGCCAGCCGCGCCGACAAACAAGCCCACAUUAUCAUGCCCGCAUCCGAUGGGUACGUCGCUGACCGAACCCGUGUUCCCAAACGACACCGUAUCAGUAGCUAAAUCCCCCAUCGUGUAGGACCCAUCCCCGUAAUUAAUCUGAUAAAUACACUUCCCACCACUACACCCUGAAAUCUGGAGCUCCGAGCAUUCCUGGGCAGAGCAAGAAACGGUUCGGUAAGUCGAUGACGAACUCGGGUCGAAUAUUGGGUCGGUUUGUUGGUAGCAGUCGGCGCAGGGCUGGCAUUGGAGCCAGCUGAGGUCGCUUCCGGUGUCGAUAACCAUGUAGUAUGAUCUACCGGGUCGACCCACGCCCAUACGGGCAAAGUACUCUCCGCUUCCCUGACUUACCCCGGAAGUUAACGGCGUCUCCAGGUCCUCCGGUUGGAUGGCGGUCGGAACCGGUUUGAGGUCCGCUUGGGUGUAGCCGGAGAGAGCGAACUCGAGCUUGGAGUUGAGAGAGUUAACUUGGGCCGAGUCACGGGCGAUACGGGCGCGCGUGAGGUAAGAAUAAUCUUUGUGCUGCGGAUUUUUCACGGAAGCCCUUGGGUGCAGUGAAAAUGAGAGAACCGAAGAGUUAUGUUGUGCGGUGGCAGUGAUGGUAGGCUUAGCUUCUUCUUCCUGCUGGGCUUGUGGGGUUUGAGUGAAAACUUGAUGGGUUUUUUGGAUAACGGCUGAAACAUCAAAAAUUUGGUAGCUGUUGUGUUGAUGAUCACGAAUGGAAUUCGAUACAGAGGUAAAGGAAAGCAAGAAAGCGAGAACUAAGAAGAAGGAGAGAAUGGGGCUUGGAGUUUGAGCCAUGUAGUCGUCGUUGUUGUGUUCUUGAUAGGUUCAGAGGAGUGAGUUAAAGUGAGAGCUGGGAAUGGGGCUUAAGUAAAGGACGUAAGGCAAAGGAGGGGUAGGGAAAGGAGGGGGGUCCUCAGGUCAGGGUUGUUUCCUGUUGAGGAUGAGAACAAGAGGAGCAUUUAAAGUUUGAAAGAAGCAUGAAACCGCUCUCUAAAGUUAAUCCUCUUGACAUUUUCCUUUUUUCUUUUCUUUUUCAGGAGUUUGGGUAUUGGUGGUAAUGCAUGGAUUGGGAUUGGUUAACGCAAUGGAUUAAUUUUCAUUCAUUUUUCGACCUUGAUUAUAAUAGUAUUUUAGCUUUCGAGUUUGGAUGUUUGAUUAGGAAAUCAACUUGUUGAUUUAAAGUGUGGCUAGUACGAGAUCUAACUGUUUGAAUAGGGUAUUAUUUGAAAUAAUUACUCUAAUACUUUUUGUGAUGUGAUGUAUGUGAGAUAAAAAAGUGGUUGAAAAUAUAAAAAGAUAUGUAAAAAAAUAUGUUUAUGAUGCAAGCGAAAUAUUAUUUGAAAUAAUUUCACUAUCUAGACAAACCAUUUGUUAAUGAAGCCUCGUGCAAAGCUUGUCUUCUUGUUCUUU